rnacentral:rRNA from 1 species
AUUGAACGCUGGCGACAUGCCUUACACAUGCAAGUCGAACGGCAGCACGGGUGCUUGCACCUGGUGGCGAGUAGCGAACGGGUGAGUAAUACAUCGGAACAUGUCCUGUAGUGGGGGAUAGCCCGGCGAAAGCCGGAUUAAUACCGCAUACGAUCUACGGAUGAAAGCGGGGGACCUUCGGGCCUCGCGCUAUAGGGUUGGCCGAUGGCUGAUUAGCUAGUUGGUGGGGUAAAGGCCUACCAAGGCGACGAUCAGUAGCUGGUCUGAGAGGAUGACCAGCCACACUGGGACUGAGACACGGCCCAGACUCCUACGGGAGGCAGCAGUGGGGAAUUUUGGACAAUGGGCGAAAGCCUGAUCCAGCAAUGCCGCGUGUGUGAAGAAGGCCUUCGGGUUGUAAAGCACUUUUGUCCGGAAAGAAAUCCUUGGCCCUAAUACGGUCGGGGGAUGACGGUACCGGAAGAAUAAGCACCGGCUAACUACGUG